rnacentral:rRNA from 1 species
AGUGAACGCUGGCGGUAGGCCUAACACAUGCAAGUCGAACGGCAGCACAGUAAGAGCUUGCUCUUACGGGUGGCGAGUGGCGGACGGGUGAGGAAUACAUCGGAAUCUACUUUUUCGUGGGGGAUAACGUAGGGAAACUUACGCUAAUACCGCAUACGACCUACGGGUGAAAGCAGGGGAUCUUCGGACCUUGCGCGAUUGAAUGAGCCGAUGUCGGAUUAGCUAGUUGGCGGGGUAAAGGCCCACCAAGGCGACGAUCCGUAGCUGGUCUGAGAGGAUGAUCAGCCACACUGGAACUGAGACACAGUCCAGACUCCUACGGGAGGCAGCAGUGGGGAAUAUUGGACAAUGGGCGCAAGCCUGAUCCAGCCAUACCGCGUGGGUGAAGAAGGCCUUCGGGUUGUAAAGCCCUUUUGUUGGGGAAGAAAAGCAGCAGGUUAAUACCCCGCUGUUCUGACGGUACCCAAAGAAUAAGCACCGGCUAACUUCGUG